UAAGGUCCUAGCUUAAUUAAAGUGCCUGGGUUGCAUUCAGGAGAUGCAGGGUAGUGUCCUGCGGGUCUUAUC
rnacentral:tRNA from 1 species